GAUGAACGCUGGCGGCGUGCCUAACACAUGCAAGUCGAGCGAGAUAAAUGUGAGUGGAGACUUCGGUCAAAGCGAUCAUUUUGAAAGCGGCGGACGGGUGAGUAACGCGUGAGCAAUCUGCCCCAUGCAAAGGGAUACCCACUGGAAACGGUGAUUAAUACCUUAUAAGACCACGAAGUCGCCUGGCUUAGUGGCCAAAGAUUUAUCGGUAUGGGAUGAGCUCGCGUCUGAUUAGCUAGUUGGUGAGAUAAUGGCUCACCAAGGCGACGAUCAGUAGCCGACCUGAGCGGGUGAACGGCCAUACUGGAACUGAGACACGGUCCAGACUCGUACGGGAGGCAGCGGUGGGGAAUAUUGCACAAUGGGCGCAAGCCUGAUGCAGCAACGCCGCGUGAAUGAUGAAGGCCUUCGGGUCGUAAGGUUCUGUCCUAAGGGAAGAAUACAGUGACGGUACCUUAGGAGGAAGCCCCGGCUAACUACGUGCCAGCCGCCGCCGUAA
rnacentral:rRNA from 1 species